AGUAACACGUGGAUAACCUACCUAUAAGACUGGGAUAACUUCGGGAAACCGGAGCUAAUACCGGAUAAUAUAUUGAACCGCAUGGUUCAAUAGUNGAAAGACGGUUUUGCUGUCACUUAUAGAUGGAUCCGCGCCGCAUUAGCUAGUUGGUAAGGUAACGGCUUACCAAGGCAACGAUGCGUAGCCGACCUGAGAGGGUGAUCGGCCACACUGGAACUGAGACACGGUCCAGACUCCUACGGGAGGCAGCAGCC
rnacentral:rRNA from 1 species